rnacentral:rRNA from 1 species
AGUGAACGCUGGCGGUAGGCCUAACACAUGCAAGUCGAACGGCAGCACAGUAAGAGCUUGCUCUUACGGGUGGCGAGUGGCGGACGGGUGAGGAAUACAUCGGAAUCUACUUUUUCGUGGGGGAUAACGUGGGGAAACUUACGCUAAUACCGCAUACGACCUACGGGUGAAAGCAGGGGAUCUUCGGACCUUGCGCGAUUGAAUGAGCCGAUGUCGGAUUAGCUAGUUGGCGGGGUAAAGGCCCACCAAGGCGACGAUCCGUAGCUGGUCUGAGAGGAUGAUCAGCCACACUGGAACUGAGACACGGUCCAGACCCCUACGGGAGGCAGCAGUGGGGAAUAUUGGACAAAGGGCGCAAGCCUGAUCCAGCCAUACCGCGUGGGUGAAGAAGGCCUUCGGGUUGUAAAGCCCUUUUGUUGGGAAAGAAAAGCAGCAGGUUAAUACCCCGCUGUUCUGACGGUACCCAAAGAAUAAGCACCGGCUAACUUCGUG